ACUUUUUUCUGGUAAAAUAGCUCUUAUUUUCUGUAAGGAUUUCAAGAGAAGAGAAAAAUCUUUAACUGAAAGAAAACUAUGUUGUCACUAUGAGGCUAAAAAAGUGCUAAACAAUGAAGUGCUAAACAAAAUCCUAAAGACCGGAAGAUUUUGUGGGGAACUUUGGUCUGUUGAUCUCCGUAAGGAGACAUAAUGGCCCCAGAUGUGACAGCCAGGGAAUGGAGCGUGCAGUACAAAGGCUGUAACUAUGACCCUGCCAUCCUUCUUGAAGGGGAGCCACACAGGAAGGGCUGCUGGUCUUUGGUAUUUAAAACAUGGAUCAGGUGGAACCCAAUGAUAUCCCCAAACCUGUUUUUCUUCCACUGUCAUGUAAUGGCACUUGGGUUGGCAAAUUCAGCCUUUUUGUUUGUUGUGUUAAAAAAAGCCAAUGGAACAAUCUUAUCAGCUUUCUUCUGUGAUCUUAUUCUUUCUGGUCUCCACUGGAUCAAAAGGGUCCACAAUAAGGUGACUUUUGCUCAGAUUGAAGAGGGAUUUGACUGCAAACUUGCUUUAUGAUAAUUAAAGGAAAAACAAGUUGGACAGGAUGCUGAAGAGAAAAUUGAGGCCUGGUAAUGCAUGCAAACAGGCAGAAGCUGUUGUUGUUGAUCUUCUUAGUGCUUUGUUUUCCAGCAGGAGAAGCCGCUGUGUUUUGUCUCCUCCAAACAGGAACUAAUAAUGAUCUACCGGAUGGACUAACAAGAAGGAUGUCUUGCUUUUGUUGAAGUAAUUUUUUUUCCUUCCUAAAAAGGAAGAUCUUUUGGGGAACAUUUUGCAUCUUAUUUCCCCCUUUCCUCUCAGAUAUAUGAAGUGUCCUGUAUGGAAUGCUGCUUGGUGUCCAGGGUGCUUGGUUGCUCCACCUGUUUUGAAGACAGGUAGAAUAGCAUGCUCAAAAUGUAAAAAUGGCUGGUCUUAGGCAAGCGGAAGUGAAAAACUGACAUUGAUGUGCAAGCAAACUACACUAACCUUUAAACUAAGGCUGGGAUGCUUUUCCCUCAUCCCCUCUAUGCUGAGGGGAAGUGCUAUAACAAUGUAUCACAGCAAUCUCCAUUCAUGCUUGCUCAGCUGGACCAUCACAAAGCAGCUGAAAUGGACUGGCAAAUUCAGCCUUCGGAGGUUAUUGACCACUUGGCUGCACUGGGCUCUGUAAGGCCGUACUUGAAAAAGCAAACAAAAUUCAAAGAUGGAGUUCAAGUGAGCUGGUCUGUUCUCAGUAUUUUUGUGCAAACUGUUUAUUACUGUGCCACAGCUACUAAGCUAUUUUACAUAAUAAACCUCUGAAAAUCUAA